UACUUUAAAAAAUAGCUAUUAACAAAUCCUUGGAACUAGGAUCAUGGCUAUAACACCUUGUAAAUUGAUCACCAGAUGAGAUUAAAACAAUUUUAAGACAAAAUUAAAAUGUGUUUUAAAAAUACAUUAGCCUCAAUAUUAAAAUACAUGUAAAAAAACCCUUAAAAUGCACAAGAUUAAUAAUUUUCUGUUUUAAAACAGCAACAGUAAAUUUGAAGUGUGUGAAAGUAAAAAUCCGAUAAAAUUUUAACACAGGAGCCUAAAUGAUAUGGUUAUGGAUACUAACCAAACUGACAAAUAUUCUGUGAAUUAUAUAAUAAUGAAUGUGUGUCUGGGGCUUGAGAUAAAUGGUUUUGAAAAAUAACUGCUGUGAAAUUGCAUAUGUGUACAUAUACCCAAUAAAUGCCAUACCACACUAACAUACUUAAUUAUUGUACAUCACCUACCCCUCUUAACACACUAAUUACAGGCUCUGAACUUUGACUAGUGAAAUACUUUCCCUGGUUUAAAAUACCAAUGCCACAUUUGGUAGUGAAGAUCAAAAAUUGCUAACACUUUGUAAAAACAUAUAAAUGUAAACAGAUCGCUUAAGUAUAUCAACUUUUAAUAUAAUGCCCUACUGGAAAGAGGCAAAAGAUACAUAAAUACAGUGGAUUGUAUGCAGUUAGUAGUCUAAAUGUACAACUGCACUUUUCAGAUUAGUUGAAUGUCAAGUGAAGAGGUAAAUACUUAUAUUAAAUUUGCUUCAUUAUAGUAAUCAGAAGUCAAAAUUUCAAAUUAGAAUGUGUCUUCCCAAAGUUGUAUAGGGGCACAAGGAAAGUUUGUAUCCCAUUUUUGAACUCUGGAAUGAAGUGAAGUGCCUUUGUUAGUACCUGGAUUACAGAAUGAAUGCCUUUAGAGUGGAGUGUUGCUAUAGUUCUUUCUAAGGAUUUAUUCUGAUCUUCUCUUUAUUCAAGGUAAGUUGGUAUAGAUCUGCACGCUUAGAGUCAAAAUCUGGAACUUGGUAGGAUGGUUCAUGUAUAAAGCAAACAGGACACAACCUGGAAGCAUCACAAAAUUGGCUAUAGAGACUGCUCCUUUAGUUUUAGAUUUUUGUACAAAUCUGAUUGUGGUUGGAUUUUCCACAUUUGCAUUUCUGAGAACGAUGAGGCACUAGCAUGGCUCAAGUAAUGACCUGUGUUGGAAGUAGUGCAGAGAGGCUGCACUGCAGCAGCCAUCAAUAGGGAAAUUCUGGCUGGUUCCCAGAGUGUUACAUCAGAAUGGCAGCUCCUUCUCUGUUUCAAGAGAGGAAGUGUGCACUCUUCCAUGCCUGGACAGUUCUGCUGCUUAGUAUGGGAAGAGAGAAUACUAAGUCCUGGCUUUCAAGAAACUAGCAUCCAUGGUCACUAGAAUGGCUCCCCACUUGCAGGAGCUUGUAUGCAAUGCUUCUCAGAGGUAAGGGAAACAAGAGGUGGGAAGGCCACUGCACUUCCCUUCACACUAUCCCUUGUGCUCCUGUGCAGAGGUGGGCACAGUCGAGUCAAUGGUGUUUAACUCGUACCUACGACCAUGCAUAUUUUAUACCUUUAUAUUAACAUGUGCUCAAAUCUGGUUGUUUAAUGCAGUUACUUCUCCACUGGACGUAGCCCUGAAUUGCACAUUAGAAAUGAAAAAUCACUGUCUGAAACUACAGUCCAAACAGUUUCCCUGACCUGACUACCACAAACACAAAUUACGUAUUGUGUGUGUGGCCAAUACGUACUGCAACAUUUUGGAAUUAGGGUUGCCGCACUUGGUAUCAUCUCUCUCAAAGAAGUGAAAAGUGUGUGUGAAACAUGCAUUUUGAUCAGUGUGGACAGUAUGUGUCAAAAAAGUAGAAAUGCUGUAGGUUUUGUUUAACUGAGAAGCAUAUCACAAAAUGUUAUAGGGUCCCUUCUCAUUUUUAUCUGUUUUUUCACAUAUGAUAUUCUGAAACAUUGUAUAAAAUGACUUUCACGUAUAAUAGCAAACUAUCCAACUUCAAUUAAUUGCUUAUUAAUUGAACUAAAUUAUCCUUACUAUAUCUAUUGGAAGUGAAAAACCUACAUAUGAUUCACUUAUUCAUUUAUGUACUCAAAAUUCCCUAGAAAAUAUCAGCUCCCGCUACAUGAUGCCCCGUAGUGUUGUAUUUUACAUUUAGAUGUUUCAGUUAGUUUACAAAUGUAUAAAAUCACACGCAGGCAGACAUCCAUCUCUCCCACUGCCUACCUACCUAAUGAGGCCCAUGUUUAUUCCUGCAAAUGUGUUCCACAAUAUAUUUUAAUCAAGGAACUUUCUUUUGAUAAAAUGGAUAAGAUUAUGCAAAUACAAUUUAGGGCUAAAUCUACUUUUACUCAUACCACUACAUGCCUUUGCAUAUAUGCACUCGAUAGUCAUAUUUUCGUUUGGAUUGUGAUAAUUGCAUGAUUGGGAAAAACACAUACUUUAGUUGAUGUGACCAGUCUCAUCAUUUAAGUUUGACUAUAGCUGCCACAAGUCACAUCAAGGCAAAUCACUGUGAGAAAAUUAUGGCGUAAGUACAAACAUAUCACAUUUUUGUAAAUUAAGAGAGGGGACUGGAUGGCUAAGGAGACGAAUAAUGGUAAAACAUGGAGUCUUUCACCUUUAGGUUGCCAAUUCAAAUCCAAGUUAGUUGCAAUGCUAGUGGACAGGAGUACACAUCACAAAAACCCCCCUCAAAAUUAGUACUAAUGGGCACUCUUGUUGGCUCUCAGAAGAGAAAUCUUGGACAGAAUUGGUAUGCAAACUAAAAACCCUAAAAAUGGUCCUACUAGAAGAUGCUUUUUGUUGGAGUAGUGUGGGAAAGCGGACCUUGUUGCUGCUCAAUCUAUGCCCUUUGUAUAGACAAAUAAGGAAUUGAGUGUAACUAAUUUACAUCACCUUAUAUAAGAAUGCUUUUAUGGCAUUGGGUUUGCAAAGAGUGGGCCACAUUUUAAAAGAGACCUCCAUAGAUCUGUCUCCUUCAUAAUUCUACAUACCACAUUCCCAUUACUACAGGGCAACUACAAUAAUUACUUGCAUGGAAAUUUGUAAUAAGAAAUUAUUUAAAAUACUCUUUUAAUGUAAUUUAGCAGCUUGAAGCAAAGAGGAAAGCCAGCAUCAUAUGAUCUGCCUGGUCUUUUACCUUGCAAGCAUUCCACAGAUCACCAGUAGCCCUCAGGUCACAGUUUGAAGGCACUGUUUUAAGUAUGGCUAAAAGCUGCUCCAUGCUUAAAGAAAGAGGAAAACGUAGGAAUAUAUAACAGUGGGGGAAAAGAUACAGAAAGAUGAGAAGCAGAGACAUAAGGAAAAUGUGUCAACAAUAAACAAGAGGAAAUGAGAAAGAAGAAAAAGAUGAAGGUGGAAACUAAUCUCUGUGUGUCAUUAUGACUGCCAGAGUACUGGCAAAGCUGCAGCAUCCUUUUAUUUCAAUUUUAAUCAUUUCUGAAUUUUAAUACCCUGCUCCUUUUGUAAUUCUCCUGGCAUUCCCCAUAUGCAUCCAGCCCAGCCAAAACACCAGUGUAAAUUAAAUGGCACACAACCACACUACUGAUGUAGCUUUCCCAGAAGAACCAAUCGAAUGACCAAAAGCAGAAAAAGGUAUGUCUACCUUGUGUGUCUGUGGAUGGCUAGCCAAUUAACUGACUUAAUGUUCCCCUCUUUCUGUAAUUUUGAAAAGAAGGGCAGUGGUUAAGUAACCUAGUAAAACAGAAUCAUUAAAAAAAAAAAAAUAAAGCAAGCCAGUAGUAAUACAAUAAUCAGUGACCAUCAGGGCCUGGAAAAAUGAGUUUGCUCUCACUGGCACUAAGGAGCAUCACAUGAUUAUUUAAUUACAGCUCUAAUUUUUGUCUCGUGGAUGGCAACAUAUCAACAAUUAAUAGGGCAAAUAGAGGAGACUGCAUUUUUAAAGAGACAGAACCAAUAUGAAAUACUGCAUGUCAAACAGUAAAAUGCUGCUUGAGGAAUAUCUUUCUUUGUACCAUACAAAUAACUCUGCUUAACUAUGGAAGAAAUAUAUUAAAACUAUCAACUCUGCUAGUAUAACUUUAUUAGGUGGUAUCUGAAAGCAUUUUUCAGAAUAAUAAAAAAUAAUAAGCACCUUUAUAACUAUCCUACUAAUAACACAACCAGUGAAAGGUUUAAAAGAGAAAAAGCCUGUUACAGGAUAAAUCACCCAAAUAGAACAUUUAAUAGGAUUCCAAGUUCAAUAAGUGAAAAUGUUGUUCAAGUGAACACAUCCUUUAUGUCUUUAGAAAAAACCACUACAGUAUUCUGCAGUCACCAAAUAAUUCCAACCUUCAUUAAGUCAAAUUAGCUAUUACAACUUCAGUGGGACAGAAUGACUUCAAUGGAUUUUCUAACACACAGGACUAACUGAUUUAUUUGGGCAUAAGCUUUUGUGGGCAAAAACCCGCUUUGUCAGAUGCCACGUCAGAAUUAGGUUAAGUUAGCAAUACUGCUGUGGUUAGAUCUAUUCCUGCAAAAUACAGUAGUGUUGAUUUUGUUUUGUUUUUAAUCAUAGAAAACAUAAAUGAUGUAAGCACCCAUUUUACCCUCAGUUACACAUGUGCAGUUCCCAUUAUGCCUGACUCUAUAAGUCUUCUCAGUGCAAAAUGGCCAUUGGAAACCAUGGGAGUUCUGAAUGUGGAACGCUUAAUUAUGGGGAUCAGUGUAAUCAGUGUAAACUGGACACACGGGAAAAACUGGCACUAUAUAAAUAUAUUAUCUUGCCUCUGGUUAUGGUCAUUUUUAUAGAAUGUAGUAGGCCAAAUCAUCGGUCACAAAUAAUUUUUUUACAUAGAAUGUAUUUAAGACAAUAAUAGUAUUUAAGAGCUAAUGCUGGAAAAGAAGAUUCCACAUGUUAAACAAAAACUAAUGAGCAAACAAAGAACAACCUACCAUACUACAAUUAGAUUAUUUUUGAAGUCUGUAUACUCAAUAUGCAACUAAAAUAGGUUUUAAUUUCUAAAAAACGCUUGUGAAUAUAUUUGAUUUCUGUGGGCAAAGACACAGAAAUUGUUUCCAUGAACAAGGCUGGAAAGAAAAUGAAACUGAUAAACACCAAUUUUUAAGUAUAUUUUAUUUAAGUAAAAGUGUUUAUAAAUUUAAAAGAAAUGACAUGUUCCUACAGAAAAAUUUGUGAUAUUGAAGGUGGCUAAAAGUCCUGAAAAUUCUGGAUUGAAGGUCUGAAUCUAUACUCUUAAAACAAGUGUUGGCAAGUCAGAGCCUGUAAGUAAGAGUAUAUAUAAUUCUUUUCAUGUGAUAGUUCAUAUAUAGAUAACAUGUCUCACAAAGACUGUAAUUAAAUGUCUAGUGCACUAGUGAUGCUAAUAAGCAUAUGGUAUUUAUAUUACAAUGAAUCCUUAGAAAAUAAAACUGUCUUUUUAAGAUGUUUUUAAUUAUUCUUGGGACUUUUGAUACCAAUCAAGAGAACCAACUUAUGAAUCAAAACAGUCAUAGUUUAAAUACACUUUCCACCACUGUUCCCCAUAUAAAACUUAUUUGCUUAUACUUUAAUUAUAAACUUUUUAACACUCAGGUUGAAAUUACAUGUUUUUGCUUGCUGUUGCUAUACGCAUGAAUAUAAACUACUACAUAAAACAGUAUUAGAAUUCGAAACACUGAAAUCUAUUCUGUUCAAAACUUAUUUUUCAUUGCAAAUGGUUAUACUCUAGUUACUGACAGGCAUAUUAAAAUACUUAAAAGUAAAAUCUUUUUAGUUUGGAUCACAGAGUAACAUGACUGCUUUUGCUCAGAGAUUACUUAUGGGGGCAAUCAUAAUGGGAACUUAUACAGUAUAGAGUUUUUCAUCCAAGUAUAUCAGAGUGCUAUGCAAAUAGAAACUAACUAAGCCUUAUAAUACCAAUCAUACAAAUAGGCAUUAUCAUAUCAGUUUUGUGGGAUAGGGAAAAUAAAAGUCUUAUUUGCAAAGAAACUGAGAACCUACAGUUUCCAGUGAUUUCAGCUGAAGUGGUGAACUCUCAAUUCAUGUGAAAAUCAGGCCCCAGUUGUGCAAUUUUCAAAAUCACUUAAGUACUUAACUCCCAUUAUUUAGGUACUGUGAUUUGUCUAAGGACACAGUUUGAGUCAGUAGCAGAGAUGCAAAUGGAACCAAGGAAUAUUGACAUGUUACUCUGUCUACCAGGAAAGGAUUAAGGGAUGAUCCUUAAAGUGCAGUCCCAAUAGUCUGUUGUGUCCCCCAACACAAUACACAAAUUACUACUGCUGGCCAAGAACUUACUACCAAAACAGGAGCCUGGCUGAAGUGGAUGCACUCUGGGUUUAAAGGUCCUGCCUGAACACCUCAGUUCAUGUCAUAAUAUGAGCAAAGGUAAAAGUCCAACUCAGCUGAUAUAUGUGGUACACACUAACAUCUCUCUGAAAAGAACAAUUUUCAGUUCCACAUAAUCGUAAUCCAUGUAUGUAGUUCAUGAAAGAAUCAUGACACUGAUGAAAAGGGUUUAUUUCAUGAACCAUUGUUAUCAAAGCACAGUUGCGGCAAAAUAACUGAAAUGGUAUACAUAGGCCAAUAUCAAAAAAAGAAACGUUAUACUAUCACAUGGUAUCCUCAAUUCUUACAUGUAUAGACACAAUCCAUAUAUAUUUACUCUGGAACAGAAUAACUGAUUUCAGAAAAAGUAUUUUUAAAAAUAAACAGUAAAAGGUAUAGUUAGCAUACAUUCUGUGGAACUAAGCAUUGUUUAUGUUUUGUUCGUACUAUAUAGGUAAGAUCUAAUAGUAAUCUCCCACCAGUUAUAUGCAAAUCUAACACCAUUGCCUUAAACUGCAUUACUCCUGAUUUUCAUCAACAUGAGAGAAGAGAAGAGAAUUAGGCCCAACAAGUUUUAAAAGAUGUUUACUAUUCAGAACAGCGCUUAAGAAUGAAAAGUAUGUUAUCAAACUAGAAUAAUUUUAAGGAGAAUCACUUUGUAUAACUGAUCUGAUUCAAUAUUCUACACAUGGGCCACAAUCUAGCUUUAAUCUUUGUUCAGAAUUUCAUCCAGUGUUUCAGUGAUCUGUACAAGGCCCCGAUGGAGGGCUUUAGAAACGAUAAAAAAGUAAACAUUUUCUAACCAGUAAACAGAUACUACUUAUAUGUGAUACCAAAAAAUGCUAACUGUUGAUCAACAGAUACUUUUUAAAAAUGGCCAUUGUAUAUCCUUUUGUUGCAACAAUCACAAAUGGUGGUACAUUAUUGAUGAAAAUUAGAGUUGUUAGUACCACACAUAUGGAAGUGGACGUAUACUUUUAAUUUAAUAUUAAAUGUAGUAAGUUUAUAACUUGUUUUGAACCUCAGUGGCAAAGAUUUUAUGCGGAAUGUCCUGACUGCCAUUAUAUUCUCUCUCUCUCUUCAAAGUGGAAGCUAUUUUUACUAAUGUUAUCAGCCAGAAACAAAGAUUAAAAUAACAUAAAGGGCUUUUCUGAGGUAGGAAAUAGACUUUAAGAAUUUGUGCAAUUUACAUAAAAAUGCUACAAGUUCUUAUUUAACAAUCAAACUGGAAAAUCGGUUUGUUUGGUUUUUUUGUUAAAUAAUGUACAGCAACAUUGGAAAAAAUAAAGUUUAAAAAUGCAUUACAUUGCAUCGCGAAAAAGUUGCACAACAUCUGUCUUUCAGUUAUUGACAAAAUGUCCCUGUCCUUACUGCAGUUGCCCGAAAAUAUAAUCUCAGUGUUUUGGUAGGCAUAUAUUCUUAAGGAAUGUUUUCACCGUUUGAAAAAACUUAGGAACACUAGAUAAAACUGAAUACUGUUUCUUUAAAACUGGCUUCUGCAUGCCACAGAAAAGAAGAUGGAAUCAUAUUUUUUUUUAAAGUUCCUCAUGGUGUGGAAUGACAACAAACUUCUUUUUCAAACAAGGAAGAGUCAGCUGCCAUGGAUAACACCACAGGUAGAUAUUAAAAUGGAGACAAAACCAUUAUUUAGUGGCGAGAGCAAUAUAAAUACAUACACUAACCUAUAAACUGGUAUUUACUUCAGGAAAGUAAGUAAUAUUUUUCCUCUGAUUUGCUGUGUUGUCAGUUUAAUGCAGUGUAAAUAAACAGUAGGUGCAUGAUAGCUUUAAGUAGAAAGUGUUCACUCCACAAGAGAAGCCGAUUACUAAAGCCUCAUGCCCAUUAUGGCAAAAAUAGAACUUCCAUUUUAACAGAAAAAUAUGUCCUCUCAUGCUAAGUGAUUUGUAGCUUUUCUAUUAAAUCAGUGUCAAAAUUCUAUGAAAUAUGCUAUGCUAACAACUUUACCAAAAAGAUUCAUUUUGGUAUCUGUAAGUUUGAAUAAUGAAAAAAGUAAAAUUCUUCUGUAAUUUUAUUAUCCCGCUCCAAAUGAAAACUUCAAAUCAUCAUCCUAGUAUAAUAAAAAAAAUUAAAAUGAUAUAUAGAACUACCUACACUUUCAGUUUUUUUCUCCUGGUGUUCCCUCAUUGAAAAAAAAAAAAAAAAAAAAAAAA